rnacentral:lncRNA from 1 species
CUAGGAAAUACCAGGAACAUGAAGUCACUAUACCAGAAAUUAAUUCUGAAGGAAAACUGAUAAGAAGAAAUAAUAUCAAUUGGGAAGGAGAUAAUCUUAUUGCAAGAUUCCCCUCUAGACACGACUCUAAGAUAAGCAAACUCAAGAAAUUAAGUAUUACUGGACCAUCAAGUUCGCAAUAUUAUAUCAAAACAAGAUAUGUAAAUCAAGAAGGAUAUAAGAAGAAUCUUCUUGUCCUCAUUGACACUGGAGCAGAUAAAAGUCAUGUAAAUGCUAAAUUUGCUAGUCAUUUAAUAGAAUUUGAAAUGCCAGAACCCUAUAUAUUCAAGGAUUAUUUAGGAAAUAAUAUUGAAAUAAGGAAAUAUGUAAAGUUCCCUCUUAUACUUAUGGGAGAUGAUCAGAAAGAAUAUACUAAAGAAAUAAUUCUAUAUAAAGAUGAAUUAUAUGGAGUUGAACGUUCACAUAUACUACUAGGAAUGAACUUUCUUGAGAAACAUAGUCCUUAUAAAAUCUGCCAAGGAUAUAUAAAAAUAACAGUUGAUGAUAAUCCAAUCAUCAUAUCAAGAAUAGACAAAAAUAUGAAAUCAUUGUUAUUAUGGAAAGAGUAAUUAGUACUAAUCUCAUGAGUCCAUAUAUUGAAAUCAUACUCAAUAUAAAAAGUUAUUGUAAAAUUAAAUUUCAUGCUUACUUAGAUACAGGAAGUACAAUAAGCUUAUGCUUACCAAAUGUACUACCAUCUGAAUACUGAAAAUAUAAUUCAAAGAAAAUAGUCACUGCUACAACAGCAGGUGGAAACAAGGUAGUAUACAGCAAAUAUGCU